UGGGGAAUAUUGGACAAUGGGGGCAACCCUGAUCCAGCAAUGCCGCGUGAAUGAAGAAGGCCUUCGGGUUGUAAAGUUCUUUUAUUAGAGAAGAUAAUGACGGUAUCUAAUGAAUAAGCACCGGCUAACUUCGUGCCAGCAGCCGCGGUAAUACGAAGGGUGCUAGCGUUGUUCGGAAUUACUGGGCGUAAAGGGCGCGUAGGCGGUUAUAUAAGUCAGAUGUGAAAGCCCCGAGCUUAACUUGGGAACUGCAUUUGAUACUGUAUAGCUUGAGUGCGAGAGGGGAAGAUGGAAUUGUGCGUGUAGAGGUGAAAUUCGUAGAUAUGCACAGGAACACCGGUGGCGAAGGCGAUCUUCUGGCUCGUAACUGACGCUAAUGCGCGAAAGCGUGGGGAGCAAA
rnacentral:rRNA from 1 species